UUACAUUGGUCAGGAGUGCUCAUUGACUUAUUCUCUAUUAUCUCAAUCCACUUCACACCACAAUUAAAUUGGAAGUUGAAUAUUUGAAUUGGAGAUAAAAUCUAGAGCACAAAAUAACCAUUAAAAUUAAUUUCACAUCAUACAUUAAACAACUUAAGCAACUAUGGCAAUAAGCACAAUAUAAGCAACCUGAGCAAACGUGAUACCAGAAUGAAAAGUUAAAUUCAAACAACCUGAAACGGGAAAGCACAAUUCAAGCAAGAAUUUCACAAGGAAAGAGGAACCACUAAUGUAAAUAGAGAAUAAUGAUUGAUAAUUAGAUUCACCAAAUAGCCCAUCCCUAUACACUUCUAUUGACAAAUAACCAAUUGCUUUUCUUCUGCAGAUCCAAAAUGCUACCAUUGCAUCUCCUUGUUGGCUCUCAUCUGGUGCUAACAAGUUGAUUAAACGAAUUCUUGAUCCUAAUCCACUUAAUGAAACUCUUGUUACCGAACAAUAGGAGAAGCCUGCCACAAUGAAUGCCUUUGAGCUUAUUUCUGGAUCACAAGGUUUAAUUCUUGAUAGCCUUUUUCAAAUAGAAGCUGUAUGUUUUUCUUCCUAAUCUGCAGAGUUUUGUCUUCUAAUCCUACUGAAUAUGAAG